GACGAACGCUGGCGGCGUGCUUAACACAUGCAAGUCGAACGGAAAGGCCCUGCUUUUGUGGGGUGCUCGAGUGGCGAACGGGUGAGUAACACGUGAGUAACCUGCCCUUGACUUUGGGAUAACUUCAGGAAACUGGGGCUAAUACCGGAUAGGAGCUCCUGCUGCAUGGUGGGGGUUGGAAAGUUUCGGCGGUUGGGGAUGGACUCGCGGCUUAUCAGCUUGUUGGUGGGGUAGUGGCUUACCAAGGCUUUGACGGGUAGCCGGCCUGGGAGGGUGACCGGCCACAUUGGGACUGAGAUACGGCCCAGACUCCUACGGGGGGCAGCAGUGGGGAAUAUUGCACAAUGGGACGAAGCCUGAUGCAGAAGCGCCGCGUGCGGGAUGACGGCCUUCGGGUUGUAAACCGCUUUCGCCUGUGACGACGCGUGAGUGACGGUAAUGGGUAAAGAAGCACCGGCUAACUACGUG
rnacentral:rRNA from 1 species